rnacentral:sRNA from 1 species
GAAAGAUAACUGUUAUAUUAGCUUGU